GAUGAACGCUGGCGGCGUGCCUAAUACAUGCAAGUCGAGCGAACCGAUUAAGAGCUUGCUCUUAAGAAGUUAGCGGCGGACGGGUGAGUAACACGUAGGUAACCCGCCUAUAAGACUGGGAUAACUCCGGGAAACCGGGGCUAAUACCGGAUAACAUUUUGCACUGCAUGGUGCGAAAUUGAAAGGCGGCUUCGGCUGUCACUUAUAGAUGGACCUGCGGCGCAUUAGCUAGUCGGUGAGGUAACGGCUCACCAAGGCGACGAUGCGUAGCCGACCUGAGGGGGUGAUCGGCCACACUGGAACUGAGACACGGCCCAGACUCCUACGGGAGGAAGCAGUAGGGAAUCUUCCGCAAUGGACGAAAGUCUGACGGAGCAACGCCGCGUGAGCGAUGAAGGCCUUCGGGUCGUAAAGCUCUGUUGUUAGGGAAGAACAAGUGCUAGUUGAAUAAGCUGGCACCUUGACGGUACCUAACCAGAAAGCCACGGCUAACUACGUGCCAGCGGCCGCCGUAA
rnacentral:rRNA from 1 species